GUCCAAGAGCACGUCGUACUGUG
rnacentral:piRNA from 1 species